UACGUAGGGCGCAAGCGUUGUCCGGAAUUAUUGGGCGUAAAGAGCUCGUAGGCGGCUUGUCACGUCGAUUGUGAAAGCCCGAGGCUUAACCUCGGGUCUGCAGUCGAUACGGGCUAGCUAGAGUGUGGUAGGGGAGAUCGGAAUUCCUGGUGUAGCGGUGAAAUGCGCAGAUAUCAGGAGGAACACCGGUGGCGAAGGCGGAUCUCUGGGCCAUUACUGACGCUGAGGCACGAAAGCUAGGGUAGCGAACGGG
rnacentral:rRNA from 1 species